UACGUAGGGGGCAAGCGUUGUCCGGAUUUAUUGGGCGUAAAGAGCGUGUAGGCGGUUCGGUAGGUCCGUUGUGAAAACUCGAGGCUCAACCUCGAGACGCCGAUGGAAACCCUCGAACUAGAGUCCGGAAGAGGAGAGUGGAAUUCCCGGUGUAGCGGUGAAAUGCGCAGAUAUCGGGAAGAACACCCGUGGCUAAGGCGGCUCUCUAGUACGGUACUGACGCUGAGACGCGAAAGCCAGGGGAGCGAACGGG
rnacentral:rRNA from 1 species